rnacentral:lncRNA from 1 species
GAAGAUUGUUGAAGAAGGUAGUGUGGAUCAGUGGGGGGCCAUGGUAGAGGUCUACGACAACAAAGGUAGAACUGAUAUGGGUUUUCAGCAAGGUUCAUCAAUUGCUAGGUCUGAGGAUAUCCAACUUAGCUUCCGUAGUGGAGGGUUCAUUCAUGGCAAUGAACAACACUUAGCUGCUGUGCUAGAGGAUGACGAAGAUGACUGCACCAGUUUUGUGACGCAUGGAAAGGCUUGCAACAAUUGGACUGCUGUUGACAUUCCUGUUAUUUUGAAUCAAUUUAAG